rnacentral:lncRNA from 1 species
GAGAAAUACAAGAGUUUUGAGAAAGUGAAAACUGAGAGUUGAUGAAAUCAGAAACAUAAGACCAAUUCUAGAGAAAUACAAGAGUUUUGAGAAAGUGAAAACUAAGGGGGGUGUAUUCAAUAAAGGAUUUGAAAUGAUUUGUAUUAAAAAGAUAAAUCUUAUGUUAUUCAAACAUGAAUUUUAAAAAUCUUUUUAAAAUCAAGUGUUAUUGGAUUAGUGAUUUUAAAAUCUACAAUCAAAUCCACUGUUAUUGGAAACAUUUUAAGUUGUGGAUUU